GCAAUUAGUAGCAAUAUCUAGUAGGUAGUUAGGGGCUAAGUGUUAGGGUGGCUGCUAGGGGCCACUGAAGGAGCCAUUUAGGGAGCUAUGAUCUGUUUCAGAGGACUGAAAUAGAGCCAUAGUAGAGGCCAAAUAGGGGGCAAUGACAGAGCUGCCGGGAGGAAGCUCAGUCAAUAAGACUAGCUCUCAACCCCCAAAACAGUUAACCUUCCAUCAUAAUUUAAUUGUGAAGAAACUGCAUAGUGGUAUUGAGAGGGAGGGAGUGAGCUACGGUUGGAAAAGAAGAGGAGUAGAGCAGCAGACCACUUUUGUUUUUUUCCUUCCCAUUGUAGUCUAGGAAGUUAGCAAUCAAGCAAGGUAAAUUGCAAUCCCAUCUUGCUUAAUGUAAACUGUCCAUUUUCUUUUUAAUUUUCGAACUAAAUGGGAGCUGUGAUGGCUGUGAUGUUUUGUUUGAUAUAUUAUAGUUAUGUUGUAUUUGUUGUUGUGGUUAGUUUGUAUACUAUUAAUAAUCAAAAGCCAAAGGGUUAGUAAAAUAGCUAGAAAAAAUAGCUAUAAGAUGGAAACAAAUAGCUUGCAUGCCAACUGUCUGAUGAAAUGUACCAGUAAAGGCUGCUAUAGUAUAAAAACAAGCUAGCUAUGAAUAAUUAGAGUCCAAAAUCAUGACUACUUGCUUAUAUAGUAAGAUGAAUGCUUCAAGUAUGCUUCUAUGCUUAAGUAUAGCAUAUUUACAUAUGGUUUACAAACCAUGCUAGAUUUGUUAGGAGCAAAAAAAAGUCAUUUUUGACUGAUAUUGAAAGCUUGUUUUAGAACUGUUAUGUCAUGCUUUUAGAGUGGAAUUUAUGCUAUAAUAAGGUGUCUUGAAUACCAAACCCUGAAGGCUAAUAGUUGAGAAGUUAAAAUUUUAUUUCCAAGCCAAGAAAGGACUCAAAACAGGGCAGUCUGGGCCUGUUUGAAACAACCCAGAUCAGUCCUUGUUUUGAGAGCUUGAAUGUUAGCUAAAAUGGCUUGUUAAAGACUGUCAAGGUGUGAUCUAUUUUGAGCCAUUCGGGUAUAGCCUAAAUAUGUUAAAUGCCAUGAAAACAGUUUGUCUAAGCUUAUAUGUUGCAUAAUCAUGUUAUCUUGAUAACUAGGUUGUCAAACCAUGAUUCUUGUAGAGUUUUAAAGCCUAUAUAGGGCUGUUUUGGGAUAAAAAGCAUGAAUCCUUGCAUCCUUGAGUUUUAAACCAUGAAUACAAUCUAUAUAGUAAAUAUAUGUUGUGAGAAUGCAUAUAACUUGAGCUUUUGAUACUUGGAACUGUUAUGGUAGAGUAGAGCAAACUCAUGCUUAAUAUGCCCAAGUAUAGGACUAUUUUGGUAUUGAUGAAUGAGCUGAGUUUGCAAUCAUGAUAAAGUAUGUGGUACUGAGUUUUCAUGGUGAUUUAAGGAUAUAGGAAUUCUUAAAGGCCCUAUGUGUUCUAUUGUGGACUGUUUGAGAUUUGGUAGCUAAAACUGUGCCUAUAAAGAACUGUUAUGGUCUAUUUUAUCUACUCAUGUUAUAAAUCAAUAAAGUGUACUUACAUUGUCUACAUAUAUCAUUUAAAUUUUUUUCCUUAAGUUAGCUAAGGUUUAGGAGGUGUGUUGUUCAAGUUCAUGCUUAAAAACCAAUGAAAAUAAACUUUAAAUAGCAUUGAACACCAAAAUAAAGAACCACCAUACCUGGACAAUGUAUGCAAGUUUCAAUAGUCAUAAUAUGAUAUUAUUAAGCGACACAAGCUAAAUAAACCAAGCCUAAACUGUUUUGAGCAUUAGAUUUGUUAAAAAUCUCAUUUUAAACCCAAAAAUAGACUGUUUUGAGGAAAUCUUGAUACCUGAACUUAUAAGACUAUGAUGACCGUAUAUAAAUAAGCUAAUGAAUGCUUAUAAUGGUUCCCAAACUUUUCCAAGACCAAAGCUAGUAAGCAAACCAAAUAAAGAGCUAUUUUCAAGCCUAAAGUGAGUUUUGAUAGGUUUAAAUUGGCUAGAUAAUUAUAUAAAGUGAGAUGAUGCUAAAAGUAUCCUUAACUAACGAAAAUACACAUGCCUAGACUAUCCAAGUGGCCAAAAUGGAAAUUUUUGAAAAAAGUUCAAAAACAGUUUUUAUUAAAGUGAGAAAACUGUCCAGUUUGAGCCCUGUUUUUGGAAAGCUUAAUUAGCAUGAAAAAGAAGCCUAAAACUUGAUUAAAAUACCUUGAAGUAUGGUCUAGAAGUAGGGCCAAGUGUUUAAGUCAAGAGCUUAACCAAGAAAUUUAUAAAAAUCACCAAACUAGGUAGAAAAAUCAUCCAAACUGCAAUUUUGUAAAAUUUUCCAAGUGUAAAAUUGAGAUUUUUGCCAUUUUACUUAAAACUCAGUUUUGAAAUCUUAGGAAAGUGAGUUAGAGGUAUUCUAGGUUAUUCCAAGUGUUAGAAUGCUAAUGUAUGCAAGAACUUGAGAAAUUAGUAUGUAAAAUCUUAAAAAGCUAAGUUUAGAGGGUCAAAACCAAAUCUAUGCUUAGCAAAGUCAAGGGAAAUCUAAAACUAGUCUUCACUAGUAAUAAUUCAAUUGUUGGAAUGAAACCAAGAGGCCAGAAAUGAAAAUGACAAGAAUUGACCAAAGUUAGUAAACUAAAAAUUGUGGUGAACCACCCAGUUUGAGCACAAGUUUCAAGAAGCAUAAUAGGCUUACUUGAAAAUCUAAACCAACACAAAAAUAAUUUGGUACAUAUGCUAGAAGUAUGUCCAGAGUUCUUGUCCAAAAUCCUAAUACAAAAAUUCCUAAAAAUCAUCAAAGUUGCAUCGAAAUUCAUAAAAAGUUAAGUUUUCUUAAGAAACUGUUAAGAACAACCCAUUUGAGGCUUAUUUUUGAAUAGCCUAACUUUUUAGUUUUUAUGACCUAAACCAAGGAUAAAAUAAUUUGGUAUGGGGUCAAUAAAAGUGCACAAAUGAUAGUUUUAAAAAACUAUCAUAGAAAAUUCUAAAAAUCCUCAAAGGUGCCUCAAAAAUCAUAAUUUUGAGUUUUUAAAAUAUCUUUUUAAAAGUGAAAUUUAAGACUUGUAAAUGUCCUAGCAUGACUAAAUAAGUUAAUAAAAUUGUGUUAUGAUCUAAGCCCUAAGACAUGUUAUGUUUGGAUGAAAUCAAGUAUACUUUGGGAUAUGUUUGAACUAUAGAUGGGUUGUGUACUUAUGCGAGUUAAUUAUAAGAAAAGUGCUAUAUAUGUAUAUACGAAAAUGUGCAAAUGUGUAGUAAUGAGCUAUGUGCCUAUGUGUUACUAACUAUAGUUAGAAAUAAAAGCUAUCUAUAGAUCUGUUAAAUGUUAGUAAGUAAAUUAUCUGAAACUUAUUGAAUAUAACUUCAAUAACUAAGCUAUAAUAUCGACUUUGUACUAAAAGAUAACUAAGUAAACUAAUACUGGGUAUAUGUAGGCUACUCUAUGGCAAAACACUCUCUUAAAAGUGUAAUCGACGCGAGAGGCAAGUACAUCAACCUUUCUUACUCAAAUAAGUUUAUAUUGCAAGUACUUAGUUCAAUAGCUUAUCUUUUUAAGUUAUUGAAAUUAUUGAAUUGCAAUACUUCAGAUUCAAUUAUUCUUAUGAUAUUGAAAGUAUGUCAAUGCCAUUAUUUUGGCUAGAUAAACAUUGAGAUAUAUUGAUAUUAUUUAUUCAGGAAAAACUCAUUUAAUGUUCUCCAAACCAUUUUGUUGUGGUGCGAACUCUUAUAUAAUGUUGUGAACGAACAACCCUUUUAUAGGGGCAUACGAUACCGGACAUAUGAUUCUGAAGAACAUGUAAUGUGUCAUUAGACUGUUAUGUUGUGCACAAUAUAGGGUAUUUGGGCUGAUCACCUAAAGUACAAGUCUGAGGUAUAUUCAGUUUUUAGUAUCUGUUUAAAUCCAUGGAUUGCAGUUUUCAAUUCUAGUACAGAGUUCACCGGUCAUUUGACCUCACAGCAUGCUAAAACUUGAUUCUUUAAACUUAAAGCUUAUAAAGAACUGUUUUAGUAUCUCAUGAUUUUAUUUCCUUUAUUAUAAAUAUUCUUGUUCUAUUAUAUUUAAGUAUUUAUUUCCUAGCUACCAUUGCGUUGAAUAUAAUGUUUUCAGUUAAAACCGCGAACGCCGGUACCUCUAGGUACUAUAAGGGAAAAGGCAAAGUUGCAGAAUAAGUUAUUAUUAAGAGCUUGUGCUUAUAUGAACUUAAGGAGCAAUUGUAAUAAUUACAUUAUUAUUAUUGUCUUGUAUUAAUAUUUGGUAUUGUAAUAUGUAAAGGUCUAUAGAAUUUGGGAUUUAAGUUAAGAUUAACAUGUAAUUUAAGACAGGUUUAAAUAAGUAAUAUGUUGGGAUGAAUGAAUAUGUUAGUAUUGUGAACACCAAACUCGAGGUUAAGGUGACCCGGAUUUGGGGGCUUCACAUAAGUGGUUCAAAAGGCUAACGCCUCAAGAACGUGUGAUUAUUCAAUUAGUCAUCAUACUCACGAAGAGACUCCCGUCGUUCUUACACUUACUUGACUAGUGGUGUGAUUAAUUAAUUUCGAAUUUGGUGGACGUUAAGGUGUAACUUGGAACAAUUAGGCAUUGUCUAUAUUUUAUUUGGGUUGACCUUAGAAGUACUUUUUUUCCCCUUAUUUAUUAUUAUUUUCUCCUUUUUUGUUUGUGCUUAUCUGUUAAUUUACUAAGUAGUGUAUACAAAAAGUGUGGUUUAGGGACAAAACAUCUCAAUUAGUAAGAAUACUUGAUUCUUUGUAGUUCACUAUAAAAGAUCUCACUUUCAAAAAAAUGGAGGUCACACAAGCCGUUUCUUUAAGGGAUCGAUGUUACUUUCAUGCAUCAGUCUACUACUGGUAACUGUUUAUAAUUUUGAACUUAAACCGCAUUUUAUAAAUAUAUUACUUAGGGUCACUAAUAUAGAAGAUCCAUAUUUAUUCAUUCAGGAAUUUGAGGAAGUUUGUGCUUUAAUGAAAAUUCAACAAUUGUCUGAUGACUCAAUUAUGCAAAUAUUAUCACAUUUGCUUUAAAAAGAUAAUGCUAAAAAGUGGUUAUAUAGCAUGUCAAAUAAUUCCAUAUCAACCUAGGAGGAAUUUGUUGUUACGUUUCUAAAAAAAUAUUUUUCACAUCAUAAAACUGCUAAAAUUAGGAUCGUAAUUCAUUAAUUUUGCCAACUUAAAAAAGCGUCAUUUUGAAAAAUAUUUUGAUAGAUUUAAAAAGUUGUUAUCCCAGUGCAGACACCAUGGAAUUGAGAAAUAAAGAUUAUGUCAAAUUGUCUAUGAAGGUUUAGACUAUCACACUAUAAAACAAUAUUAGAGUUAAUGUGUUAGGGGGAUUUUUUGAAAAAUGAUGAGGAAAAUGCUUAGGAGUUUUUAGAAGACUUAUUAGAAAAAAAAAUGCAAUUUGAAAGCACCUAAGAGACCAUUAAACAUAGCUCAUCUAGGGGUGUUCAUACAAUUGAAAAUUUAAUUACUACCGAAGCUAAGUUGGUUAGUUUACUUAAAGACUCGAAACUUUUAAAACUAGGGGACCAUCACAUGUGAACCAAGUCUCAGCACCAACACCUUUUUUUCUAAGGUGUAAUUCACCAACUCAUGUGAUAGAGGAAUGUCCUAGAGUCAUGGCCCAACUUGAAGAAUAUUAACAAGUCAAUGCAAUAUUUCAAAGACUUAGGAAUGACCCAUUUGCACCCACUUAUAACCAAAGUUGGAGAAAUCAUCUUACUUUUGCAUGGAGUCAAAGACCCUACCCAAACAACUCUUCAAAUCAGGCCAAUCAAACUCUAAAUCAAUCUUUUAAACCAUACCAAAAGUCGAAUCAUGGUCCGUACCAAAAUUCAAAUUUAGCAACUCAAUGAAAGUGAGAAGAGACUAAGCACUUUAGAGAAAAGCAUAGAAACUUUAAUGAAAUCUCAUAAUAAUUUCAUGCAAAGCACUAACCAAGUCUUAUCUCGUUUAGAGAUCCAAAUGAGUCAAUUGGCCACUACAGUUAGUGAAAGAGAGAAGGGUAAGUUUCCUAAUCAACCCAAAAUCAAUCCAAAAUUUCCAGUUCUUGAUAAAAAAAAGCCUAGUCAUUAUAAUUCACUUGAAAACAACCAAGUCAAUCGUGUGAAUUCUAUAAUUUCUUUAGGGUCUGCAAAUUAUUUUAACAAUCAUGUUAACAUUGAUGAAAAAGAAAAGAAAAUUUAAAUGUUGAAUCUAAUAAUCCAUUUUCAAAGUCAGCCAACCUAAAAAGCCCACAAGCUCUGAGUCAGUAGGCCCAUCCACUAAGUAUGUGUCAAAAAAUGAUCAAACCACAUCUUCAGAGUCAAAUGAAAAAUUCUUUAAACCAAAAGCCCCAUUCCCUCUCAGACUUAUUUCAAAUAAGCAGUCAACCCAAUAAGAAAAAAUUCUAUAAGUGUUCAAAUAAGUGAAAAUUAAUAUUCCCCUUCUAGAUGUCAUUCAACAAGUUCCCUCAUAUACUAAAUGUCUAAAAGAUUUAUGCACAUACAAAAGAACUACCCAUGUUCCUAAGAAAGUAUUUCUAAUAGCUCAUGUUAGUUCUAUUUUGGCUUUUCAAGUCCUUGUGAAAUAAAGGACCUCGGUUGUCCUACUAUUCCAAGUAUCAUAGGUGACACCUUAAUUCAGAAUUUUUUGCUUGAUUUAAGAGCUAGUGUGAACCUUUUACCCUUUUUCUGUGUACCAAACCUUGAGCUUAGGGGAGUUGAAAAAGAUAAGUGUCACACUCAAACUAUCUAAUUGUUCCGUUAAAUUGCUAAAGGGAAUAGUUGAUGAUGUACUCAUUUGUAAGACCCCAACUUUUAUGAAUAAAGAUUAAUUUUCUCUAAAUGUUAUUUUAAAUAAUAAGGUGUGGAUUUGAUAUAAUAUUAUAGUUGUGGGUAAUAUUUAUAAAUUUUGCAGAGUAAGCAAGUUGUCAUAAAAUAUUCGUUUGGUCAGAAAAUAUUCGUUUUAUCAGGGAAUAUUUAUACGACGGCAAAAUCAUUGGUGGACACCACAACGAAAUUAUUAUCGGAGUGAGAAAACGACAAAAAUAAUUUUUUAUAAAAUAAAGGCAAAAGUUUUACCGUUAAUUGUUGAAAUACCCGGUGAUAGAAGUACAAUAAUACGCGUGGUUGCAUAAUAGCACACGAUAUUGUACAGUAUCUUUGAAUACUGAUGCUUACGUGAGAAAUCACUCAGUUUUAUUCAAUUAUUUCCACAGUAAUUGUUGCACAGUAUCUCACAUUAUUGAUUCAAUUAUUGUUACAAUAUUUUAUAUUAUUAAAUCAAUAAUUGAGAUAACAAAGUUAUUCAUAUUAUUAUUUGCAUUAUUGACGAUGUCUAGAAAUUUCUGUCGAGAAAAGGGGUUUGGUCACCUAAUUGCGUGCCAAUAAGGAGAAGUCUUUAUCAGAAAGCCCCAUCUUUUCUGGGAACGAUCUGGUUGUCAAUAUUAUGAGUUAUAAUAUUAAUGAUGAAUAAUUGUCGAAUUUGUUGAUUAAAGAUAUGUAUAAUAAUUGAUGAGUGGAAGAUAUUUGUUCAAGUUGCUAUAUUGGUAGGAGUAUUUUAGUUGAAUAAAGAAAUUUUCUCUUAUACUAAAAAGUGUUUAAAUUAGCGAAUGGAGAAUAUAAGUAUAGGAAAUAUUUAGGUGAAUGUCCAAAACAAAAAGUGGGAUAAUAAUCAACCUAAACUUAGCAUGCCAAAGUCUUUUUUUUUUAAAAUUUGGCGUGAAAGAUUUUUCAUUAGAGGAACGAUUAGGUUUACUAUGCAUCCAAAUAGUAUCAUGUCAUUCUCCUAUAAAUAGGAUGCUUAGUUUAGAAUUAAAAAUCACACCAGAAUCAGAGAAUUCUUUUUCUAUAAUAUUGAGUGUAUUUCUUUUGAGUUUAAGGAAGCUUUGAGUGUAAAAAACAGUAUAAGUUUUCUUCAAGAAUAUCCCCGCCAUACGAAUCAGAAAUACUCUCCUUUUAAUGUAAGGGCUAUUAUUUUUGUUCAAUAUUCGUAAGAAAUAAUAUUUUCUUCCAUACUAUGUAGUAUGUAAAUAAUAUUAUUUCGUUUCAGAUUUCGAAUUCUACACUCAUUUUGUUAAAUAUUGCUUCUAUACUCCUUGAAAUUAAUAGAAUAUCCUUAAAAUUUGCGCUUCAUCUACUAUCGUUUCACAAGGAUAUUUUUCUGAACAUUCUUAUUAAAAUUUAAUCCUCUCAUGCUGGGGUACUAUUCACGAGGUACUACUAUUCACCCAGAAAAUUGAUUUUUUUUUCUGUAUAAAUUAUUUUUGAUACAUGAAUAUUAUUCUUGAAUUUUACUCUACAAAGCAGUUGUCAUGUUGACAAUUUGGACAUUUUUAAACUUUGAAUAAAUUAAAAAUCUUUAAUAUUUAUCCUUGAUUUCGUUUAAUUGAUGCUUAUAUCAUUGUCAUCAUCAUCAUGCUUAUAUUGUGAUAAAGGUCAUCUUUGGCCCGUAGUGCGUAGAUGGACUGUUGAUUGGUAUGAUUAUGACUAUGUAUCGGUAUAAUCAUGACCAUUGGUGAUAAUACGAAUAUCCUUGGCCCGUAGUGCAUAAAUGGACUGUUCAUUGGUAUGAUUAUGACUAUGUAUCGGUAUAAUCAUGACCAUUGGUGAUAAUACGAAUAUCCUUGGCCCGUAGUGCAUGGAUGAUUCGUGGAUGUGAUAAUAAUGAAUAUCCUUGACCUGUAGUGCAUGGAUAAUUCAGUGAUGUGGAUUAUUUAUUGAGCUGAGUCUCAGCGAUAAAAUUGAUAUUGAUAAACUUUUAAAUCAUAGAAGAUAGUAGAUAUUAUGCUCUACUUGACUCUUUUAAUGGAUUGUUUGUUCCGCUGCAGUUAAACUUGUUGUCUAUUGUAUUCUAUCAGUUUAACACCGUUGAAGGCUAAUGAUAAUUUAUUUUGCAUUAUUGUAGUCAUAAUAUUCUUUACUGGGCUAGUGGAGUUCACCCUUUGCUUUCAUUGUUCUCUUCAGGAAAUGAGAAUAUUGUUGGGACUAGUCGAGGAAUGGGGUGAUGGUCCGAGAUGGUGGCUAUAGUAGUCCUCACUAUUUUAUAAAAUAGUGUGAUAAUAAUUGUAAUGAG
rnacentral:lncRNA from 1 species